rnacentral:rRNA from 1 species
CUGGCGGCGUGCUUAAUACAUGCAAGUCAACUUGACUUUAGAUAGCAAUAUCGAAAGUAGGGUGGCGCACGGGUGCGUAACGCGUAGGUAAUCUGCCCUGAGGUCUGACAUAACCCGUCGAAAGGCGGGCUAACAUCAGAUGAUAUAUAAUCACGACAUCGUGGAAAUAUCAAAUCUUCGGAGCCUUGGGAUGAGCCUGCGUCUGAUUAGGUAGUUGGCGGAGUAAUAGCCCACCAAGCCUACGAUCAGUAGCUGGUCUGAGAGGAUGAUCAGCCACACUGGAACUGAGACACGGUCCAGACUCCUACGGGAGGCAGCAGUAAGGAAUAUUGCUCAAUGGGGGAAACCCUGAAGCAGCAACGCCGCGUGAAGGAUGAAAUACUUUUGUAUGUAAACUUCUGUAAGAUGGGAAAAAUAUUCUCCUCGGGAGAAUUGAUUGUACCAUCAGAGUAAGCCCCGGCUAACUACGUG